AGAUCCAAGAGGGCGCUGAGCACCAGAGGAACUUUCCCAGACUUAUGACUGGCCCCGGCGGGCGUUUGGUGUUCCCGAGAGAAGGAGAUGCAAGGUCUCAGUUACUACUUCAGGGCCAUGCCUGCCUGCCUGCUGCCACUCUCCACAUCGCGAUGGUCAUGGACGCAGUCUCCGGAACUAAGUUAGAGAAACACAUUUUCUCUUGCUUGGAAAAUAAUGUUUGAAUGUGAUGUGGAAGAUAAAUGACACCAAGGCUCUAUCAAGAUUUCCACAAGGGCACAGAAGACAUGGAUGGCAGUGACUUUAGCAUCCACCCACAGAGACUGAAGGUGAAAGCAGAAGGAGGUCCUUAGCUUCAUGCUUAAGGAACUUCAUGCUUAAGGGUGUCAGGGACUGCUCAUGGAAGCACAGGAACCCAGGUGAUGCAUUCUGAAACUUCACCAAGUCUCUGAGAAGGUAUGCAGGUAGGAUACACUCUGGACACAGAUGUUUACAUUCAAUAUGCUGCAUUAAUGAUUUCAA